UACGUAGGGGGCAAGCGUUGUCCGGAAUCAUUGGGCGUAAAGAGCGUGUAGGCGGCCCGGUAAGUCCGCUGUGAAAGUCAAAGGCUCAACCUUUGAAUGUCAGCGGAUACUGCCGGGCUAGAGUCCGGAAGAGGCGAGUGGAACUCCAGGUGUAGCGGUGGAAUGCGCAGAUAUCAGGAAGAACACCAACGGCGAAGGCAGCUCGCUGGGACGGAACUGACGCUAAGGCGCGAAAGCGUGGGGAGCGAACAGG
rnacentral:rRNA from 1 species